rfam:Candidatus Taylorbacteria bacterium RIFCSPHIGHO2_12_FTLL_45_16 rifcsphigho2_12_scaffold_237, whole genome shotgun sequence.
GCGCAGGUGGCAGAGCGGUCAAUUGCAAUGGACUGUAAAUCCAUCGCCCUAUGGGCUACGGGGGUUCAAAUCCCUCCCUGCGCA